rnacentral:lncRNA from 1 species
CCACCUAACUUCUCCUUAAUUUUCUAUUGGUUGGUACAGUCAAAAUAAAAGGUACUGGUCAAAUAUGCAGAUAAUUACCCUGCAACAAAAGUUCUCCACUCACAUAUAGCAUUUCAAAACAAUAAUCUCUCACCAGUCACCACCCUUUCCAUUAUUCUAUCCUACGGCUCACCAUAUCAUCCUUAUUUUUAGCUCCAAAAUCACCAUUCCAAGCCUACAUCUUUCUUCUUCAAGGUGAUCUCAAACAUAUUUAAGGGGUUUUCUUGCUUAAGGACUCAAGUAUUCUCGUUUCUAUCAAAAAUCUUCACCUAGCUUUGCUAGUGUAUGGAGAUGCACUACAAUGAAAGACAUAAAACUUUUAAAGACACAACAUGCGGUACAAGUGGACUAUACUACUUUCAUAAAAAUAGGGAAUUGAUCACAUAUUCCCAAAGGUGUGGAAUCAGAAGGGAACUCCCUAUAUGUUUCAUACGUAGGAGUACAUGACCGCAACUACCACCUUCCCCCAUGGGAUAUUUUCGUUUAAAUGGGUGUUUUGGAGUUGCUGUGCGCCCAUAAGACCAUGAGAAAUCAUACGUGUCACACACUGCAAUUAUUGGGUAUUUCGGUCCUUCAUUACAGAAGUUGCGUUCUAAGGCUUUCCGAAU